AUGCUUACCUGGCCAGGGAGACAGCAUGAUCAUGAAGAUGGUUUUCCUAAGGUGAGACUUAUCCAUUGCACUCUGGAUGUGCUGACCCCUGCAACGUCCCCAGAUGUGCAAAACUGCAUAAUCUGUGGUAGUGGGGGACUGUGUUUGUUUUUCCCUUG